rnacentral:lncRNA from 1 species
UGUGGCAAAAGUCAUCCCAUAAGAUUGUAGUUGGGGCUGCAAGAUCGAAAGGAUCUUUUGGCACUGAUCCGGAGUGAUGUUCAGUUUAGAGUAGUCACACAAGGAGUUUGGGGUCGCAAUACAAUUGGAAGUUUGAUUUGCUGCAGAAACUUUGCCCUUUGUGAAGUUAAACCCGGGUGGAAAAUCAUGGAGCUUGUAACAUUUAUCCCUUGUAUGACUUGGUUUUCCGCAAUGACUGCAGAUGGGUCUAUCUUUCUUGCGAAAUUGAACCAUAGUGUUUUGCUUUUGAACAGUUUUUUGAUUGAAUGAAAGGUUGACUGACAUAAUAGUUUAGAGUGAUGUUUCCCCUACAUUGAACUCUACAUCCCAAUCUUGUGACAUAAUAUUUUCCCCAUCUAUCAUUACUAUGAUCAGUGGCAUCC